rnacentral:rRNA from 1 species
AUUGAACGCUGGCGGCAUGCCUUACACAUGCAAGUCGAACGCGAAAGGGGGGCAACCCCCGAGUAGAGUGGCGGACGGGUGAGUAAUACAUCGGAACGUACCCAGUAGUGGGGGACAACCUCGAGAAAUCGAGGCUAAUACCGCAUACGACCUACGGGUGAAAGCGGGGGACCGCAAGGCCUCGCGCUAUUGGAGCGGCCGAUGUCCGAUUAGCUAGUUGGUAGGGUAAAAGCCUACCAAGGCGACGAUCGGUAGCGGGUCUGAGAGGACGACCAGCCACACUGGGACUGAGACACGGCCCAGACUCCUACGGGAGGCAGCAGUGGGGAAUUUUGGACAAUGGGGGCAACCCUGAUCCAGCGACGCCGCGUUUGUGAAGAAGGCCUGCGGGUUGUAAAGCACUUUUAGUGGGGAUGAAAAGCUCAGGGCUAAUACCCCUUGGUCUUGACCUAACCCAAAGAAAAAGCACCGGCUAACUCUGUGCCAGCAGCCGCGGUAAAAC